rnacentral:misc_RNA from 1 species
GGAAGUAAAGUCGUAACAAGGUUACCGUAGGUGAACCUGCGGAAGGAUCAUUAAUGAGUUGUCAUGGGGUUCGAUGCUGGCAGCCAAUUUUUGGAUGCAUGUGCUUGCCCUAACAAUCAUCUUCCAAACACCUGUGCACAUUUUUGAGGGAGUCUUGAGUUGGUUGCCGCUCUUGGGCGAUUUUCUCACAUUCCCUUAAAUCAUUAUACGCUAUUAACAAUGUUGAACGUGCUCUGUGCCGCAAGGCUAUUAAUAUAAUACAACUUUUAACAACGGAUCUCUUGGCUCUC